rnacentral:rRNA from 1 species
UUUUAUGAAAAAUACGUUUUGGAAGCUAAGCAGAGUCGGACCUGGGUAGUACUUAGAUGGGAGACCACCUAGGAAGACCGGGUGCUGUAGGCU